AGUGAACGCUGGCGGUAGGCCUAACACAUGCAAGUCGAACGGCAGCACAGUAAGAGCUUGCUCUUACGGGUGGCGAGUGGCGGACGGGUGAGGAAUACAUCGGAAUCUACUUUUUCGUGGGGGAUAACGUAGGGAAACUUACGCUAAUACCGCAUACGACCUACGGGUGAAAGCAGGGGAUCUUCGGACCUUGCGCGAUUGAAUGAGCCGAUGUCGGAUUAGCUAGUUGGCGGGGUAAAGGCCCACCAAGGCGACGAUCCGUAGCUGGUCUGAGAGGAUGAUCAGACAAACUGGAACUGAGACACGGUCCAGACUCCUACGGGAGGCAGCAGUGGGGAAUAUUGGACAAUGGGCGCAAGCCUGAUCCAGCCAUACCGCGUGGGUGAAGAAGGCCUUCGGGUCGUAAAGCCCUUUUGUUGGGAAAGAAAAGCAGCAGGUUAAUACCCCGCUGUUCUGACGGUACCCAAAGAAUAAGCACCGGCUAACUUCGUG
rnacentral:rRNA from 1 species